CGGGAUAAUAUAUUUGAGAGGCAUCUCUUAAAUAUCAAAGGUGAGCCAGUACAGGAUGGACCCGCGUCUGAUUAGCUAGUUGGUAAGGUAACGGCUUACCAAGGCAACGAUCAGUAGCCGACCUGAGAGGGUGAUCGGCCACAUUGGAACUGAGACACGGUCCAAACUCCUACGGGAGGCAGCAGUGGGGAAUAUUGCACAAUGGGCGAAAGCCUGAUGCAGCAACGCCGCGUGAGUGAUGAAGGCCUUCGGGUCGUAAAACUCUGUCCUCAAGGAAGAUAAUGACGGUACUUGAGGAGGAAGCCCCGGCUAACUACGUGCCAGCAGCCGCGGUAAUACGUAGGGGGCUAGCGUUAUCCGGAUUUACUGGGCGUAAAGGGUGCGUAGGCGGUCUUUCAAGUCAGGAGUGAAAGGCUACGGCUCAACCGUAGUAAGCUCUUGAAACUGGGAGACUUGAGUGCAGGAGAGGAGAGUGGAAUUCCUAGUGUAGCGGUGAAAUGCGUAGAUAUUAGGAGGAACACCAGUUGCGAAGGCGGCUCUCUGGACUGUAACUGACGCUGAGGCACGAAAGCGUGGGGAGCAAACAGGAUUAGAUACCCUGGUAGUCCACGCUGUAAACGAUGAGUACUAGGUGUCGGGGGUUACCCCCUUCGGUGCCGCAGCUAACG
rnacentral:rRNA from 1 species